GAUGAAGAACGUAGCGAAAUGCGAUAAGUAAUGUGAAUUGCAGAAUUCAGUGAAUCAUCGAAUCUUUGAACGCACAUUGCGCCCCUUGGUAUUCCGGGGGGCAUGCCUGUUCGAGCGUCAUUAUAACCCCUCAAGCUCAGCUUGGUGUUGGGGCCUGCCAACUGGCAGCCCUUAAAAUCAGUGGCGGCGCCAUCUGGCUCUAAGCGUAGUAAUUUCUCUCGCUAUGGAGUCCUGGUGGAUGCUUGCCAUCAACCCCCAAUUUUUCUAUGGUUGACCUCGGAUCAGGUAGGGAUACCCGCUGAACUUAAGCAUAUCAAUAAGCGGAGGA
rnacentral:misc_RNA from 1 species